UUCUACUCUUCUCUUUUUAUAUUUUCUUUUGUUUGCUGGUAAUAGAAACUGGUUUUACUGCUCCUGGGAGAUCUAGGGAAUCGCCAGACUGUACUCCACAUAAGGAUUUUUUAUAUUUUUGCUCCACGGAACUGGAUCCAAUCUGUGCAACCAAUGGUCGAACUUAUCCCAAUACGUGCAUCUUCUGCAGUGCAAUGCUGUAAGAACACAAAGCUAAAUACUGGCUCUUCCAAAAUAAUGAAGAAACCAUCACAAAAUGAUAGGAAAUCCACGUUUCUGAUAGUCUACCCACAGUACAUAUGGAAAAUAAUUGUACUACCUCAGUAAAUGCCCCAGAAGCACAUGUGGAUCGAAAAUCUGAACCAUUUGGAUUUUAUUCUUAUGGGCGAUGUCCUGCCUGAGUUACACACUCCUAUGUCUUACUCCUGUCAUUUUGUGACAAUCCUACUUUGCAAUGGAUUCUAUAGGCAAUUAGAGUCCUUUCAAUCAGGACUUUACACUCCUAAGUGGCCAGGCAAAGCCUUCUACGGUAGACAAGAUGUAAUAUAGAAAAUUUAUUCCAACUCUAAGAACCUUUGAUUGAUUUUUAUUCUCUGUUCAAUUACUAUAUAUCAGUUCAAAAGCUAUGUUAAUCGUGUGUUUGAUAAUAUAUACCUAAUAAAAUUUGCAAUCAUAAAUAUUUCAGUCAAUACAGUGUUAAGUAAU